rnacentral:rRNA from 1 species
GAUGAACGCUGGCGGCGUGCCUAAUACAUGCAAGUCGAGCGAACAGACGAGAGUGCUUGCAGUCUCUGGCGUUAGCGGCGGACGGGUGAGUAACACGUGGGUAACCUACCUAUAAGACUGGGAUAACUUCGGGAAACCGGAGCUAAUACUGGAUAAUAUUUAGCUUCGCAUGAAGCAAUAGUGAAAGACGGUUCUGCUGUCACCUCUCGAUGGAUCCGCGGUGUAUUAGAUUGUUGGUUAGGUAACGGCUUACCAAGGCAACGAUACAUGACCGACGGGAGAGGGGGAUGGGCCACAUUGGGACGGAGACACGGCCCAGGCUCCUACGAGAGGGCGCAGUCGCGAAUCGUACGCAGUGGAGGGAAAUAUGACGGAGUAGUGCCGCGUCAGUGAAGAAGGUGUUCGGUUCGUAAAGCUGGGUUGUAGGGGAUGAACAGGUACGUUAGUAACUGAACGUAGCUUGACGGUACUUGAUCAGAAAGCAAGGGCUAACUACGUG